GACGAACGCUGGCGGCGUGCCUAAUACAUGCAAGUAGAACGCUGAAGCGAGGAGCUUGCUCUUCUUGGAUGAGUUGCGAACGGGUGAGUAACGCGUAGGUAACCUGCCUGGUAGCGGGGGAUAACUAUUGGAAACGAUAGCUAAUACCGCAUAAAAUUGAUUAUUGCAUGAUAAUUAAUUGAAAGAUGCAACUGCAUCACUACCAGAUGGACCUGCGUUGUAUUAGCUAGUUGGUGAGGUAACGGCGCACCAAGGCGACGAUACAUAGCCGACCUGAGAGGGUGAUCGGCCACACUGGGACUGAGACACGGCCCAGACUCCUACGGGAGGCAGCAGUAGGGAAUCUUCGGCAAUGGGGGGAACCCUGACCGAGCAACGCCGCGUGAGUGAAGAAGGUUUUCGGAUCGUAAAGCUCUGUUGUAAGAGAAGAACGGGUGUGAGAGUGGAAAGUUCACACUGUGACGGUAUCUUACCAGAAAGGGACGGCUAACUACGUG
rnacentral:rRNA from 1 species